CACUGUAAAGUCGCAACGGUAUGUCCGACUUAUCAUUGUAUGUGCGACGGACUGUCGCACUUAACCCUAGCUUAGCGGAUUGGGUCGGAUUGCUUUAAAUAACCGAUUUUUAAUUACUAUCCAUUUCCAAAUGUUUUUAAACUAAUAAGUUGAAGCGGUUAAGUAACUCUCAACGUUUAAAAACACCUGUGCCCUUUCAUUCCCCCCUCACACCUCUUCAUUUUCCGAUCUUCCUAUCUAUUUAAAGGCCCUUCCUCUCUCUCAUUUUUCCUCACAAGCAAACUAAAGUUCUUUUCAGAGACACAAAUAUUUAUCUGUUAUUUGAAGUUCAUUGUGUAAAGUCUGAGUAGUGCAUUCAUACUACAACAACAAGGUACUACGGCUCCUACAAUACCACCAUCCAGGGGCAGAGGUAGAAGCCAACGAACCGGGUAAGCGCAAAGUUCUGAUGCGCCAGCUCGAAACACUAGACGAAAUCGUCAACCAGUGGUUUCUUCAUCCUCCUCAUCUGAUGAGGUGGUUAAAAGCAGUAGCAGUAGUACCUCUAUUUCAGUACCCCCGGAGGUAGCAGUCAAAACUUCUAACCCUGUUCCAGAAGAAGUGCCUUAACAAGAGGAUCCAAAUGUCAUUCAUCGAAAGGAUUAGCAGCUUAGGGAAGCCAUAAGAUAGCAAGUAGCGGGUGCUCGUAAGAUCUUCUACGAAGGACUGGAACCUACUUCAGAUAGGUUAUAUUCGUGGAACACCAGAUUAUCACAACAACCUUGCAUGAAUAUCCAGAGCUUGAGCGCCGUUUCAAUUCAUAUGGGUUGGAUUGGAUGAGUAGGCCACUGGGAUCGUACCAACCUAUCUUGGUGUGGGAAUUCUUGGCUAAUUAUCUGGCACUGCUAGAAAAGGAUUUGCCCAAGGGUGCAACGGCUGCAGAUAGGGAUAAGCUUAAUGUAGUCCCAGUGAGAGGAGUCGACACUGAUUUCUCGGAAAGGGCGUUGAACAGGUUUUUAUUUGGCCCGGAAUAUCAAAUACCAGGGGCUAUCCCAGAGUUGGAGCAUUGGUUAUUCACAUGAGCUGAAUAAAGGCGAUGUCUAGCCAGGAUUCUGACAGAUGGAGGUAACCUUACCUGGUUACUUGACCCACGUGAGAGAAUCUCGAAGAAAUCACCGAGUUUCAGGGAAAAAUUCUGGUGGGCUAUUGUGCGACUUAGGCUUAUGCCCACAGGUGGUGAUGAUCUUCUUGAGAGCACCCAAGCUGUACGCAUUCUCUACGUGCUUCAUUGAUGAGAAUGUUGUUUCGACGCUUUCAGUUGCAACAUGUAAAAUUAAAUUUCACUUUAGGAGGAAAUAAAUAAAUGUCCGGCUCCGGCUCCUCUCCAUUUC